UUCCUCGUGGCCCAAUGGUCACGGCGUCUGGCUACGAACCAGAAGNGGUUCGAGUCCUGGCGGGGAAG
rfam:Zygosaccharomyces bailii CLIB 213 genomic, scaffold02